CACCCGCUCCGCGAGGAAGUGACGACUGCGCCGUCCCGAGAGCAACAAAGUUUGAGUCUGCGGGCCCUGCUCGCCUGCGCCCCGCGCCCCUCCUAGCCGCCCCGGGAUCCAGCGCGCAGCUACAGCUUCCAGACAAGUUCUAGACAAAUCUGAUUACCUCCCGUUAGCCCCCCGUUGGUCAGACAUUCUGAAACAGACACUUGGGAAUCACCAGGACACAGCUGGAGCUAGGGGAGCUGACGGCAUCACCCAUGGAGAGCAUGGCAUCACCCAUGGAGGUGAGGGGAUCACCAUUUAAUGGGUGCAGUACAAGGGGAGUCAGCAACGGAGACCAAGAAGAACGGAAGGACAUUAGGAGAGCCUGGUGUCACAGAUGCCAAAGGAGGAGGAAGCGUUACAUUUUAUGACAACAGAGACCAUGAUUUUGUUCACCAAGUACAGCACAUGGUACAUACUUUCAUAUGUCUUUUAUUGAGUUGAAAUUGAUCACCUGUUCAUCCCUGGGGACAUCAAGAAAGAGAGGACUGAAAGGACUGAUUGACUUAGGAAUUUAAAAGUUCCUGGAGUUUUGCCAUGAGUAGGGUCUUCUCAUUUGAUUUAACCUCUUGGAGAAAUAGGUGGUACAGGUACCACCUGCCCCAGGGUUGGAAGGACAUGUGCAAGUUCUCGAACUCAGGUUUCUUGACUGCAAGUCCACCCUGCCCUGAACUGAUGGAGAAACAGAGAAGAGUCCAAGAGCGUGGUAAUGCUCUUAAUUUCUGGUAUUAAUUCCCCAAAUUGUGGCAUCUACUUAGGACCAGGGUAGGAUGGAUCGCUAUAUUCAGCAUUUACGUGUUUUUGUUCAUACCUGUGAUUAUAAGGUGGCUAUAAUCCUGUCCUAUGUACGAGUAUUUAAAUGAAACUUUUCUCAGAGGGAAGAAUAGAAGCUUGAGCAAAGGUGUUGUCUCAGGGGGGCCAGAGGAGUCUGUAGAGGUCGAAGGACAUGCUGGGGUAGUCUAGGUCUUUGGUCUGCAAAAGCAGAAGCUGACUCUGGCUAAAUUAAUGAGAAGAGGAAUGUAUUGGAAGGAUAUCUGGUGACUCACUGAAUGUCCUGGAAAUCUGGAGAAGGAGGCUCAGAAAUCUAUCAGGAUCUGUGCGAAGCUGGGUAGGUGGAACUGAAGACAAAGUGAUGAUGCCUCUGGUCUGGCUGCCAGCUAACCCGAAUGCUGCCACCACCUCUGGAAUGAGUUUUGAACUCUCCUUAAUUCUUUGUGGUGUCACUCAAUCCAGAGGCAGAGGUGGAACAUCUGGUUGGCUGGCUUAGGU
ensembl:lncRNA